GAUAGAUGGGUCUUACUCUGAUCAAACAGAGCCAUUCUUCCAGUUUUGUAAAUUUCAGCAAACCUUUAGAGUAUAUCCAUGAGAGCCACUGUUUUCCAGGUAAUAUACAGUCACCUUUCAACAAGUGACUGUUUGUACCUCUAUUAUAGAAACCAUGUCUGAUGAAUGAGAUAAAGAAAUUACUUACUUUGUAGCCUAGCACCUCUGAUUCGUUCUCCAUUGUUUUUACAUGUUCCCAGUUCAAACAGAUUUUGGAAUUUGUCAGUUUCCAGGCAAUGUUUGCCGGAGGUUGACGUGGUGCUUUAAAAAAGAUGAUGAUAAUCAGAAGAUACAACUGAAUAUUAAUUUACAUCAUGUAAUUGAAUGAGCUGCUGACACAGAAGCAGCAAAUGCAUGGCUGAUUCAAAUCUAAGAGUAAAAAAUUAUUUCCAGUCCAUCAUUGCUCCCACAUUAGUCAGAAUAAAGUUCUAUUCAUAGCACAAAACCACUUACUGUGAGAGUUCAUUUUCAAAAUUAGGAAAAUCCUGACAGUGGCUGACAGCUCAAGUUAUAUUUGAUGGAUUUUGUGUACUGUCUUCCUAUCUGUAUUUUAGUGCACUAGAGAAUGUUUUGCUAUAUGGAUUUCAAAAAAAGGGAAAACUAAGAGCAAAAUACAAAAGAUAAGAUUUUCAUCAGCCAUGAGGACAGGUUACAAAGAGCUACACAUUAAAGUCUCCAUGUGAUCCAUCAUGAAACAUUGUAGAUUUUAUAAAUUCUCAGCACAAUAGGCUGAGAGUAGCGUUUCAAAGACUUUUUAUGACUAAGUGCCAGGACUUUGAAAAUUUGCCUACAAGUGACUGAAAUCGAAUCCUGUGUGAACAUGUGAAGCUGAAACUGUGCCUUUGAACUGUAUCUUAGAUUUAGAACAACACAUUAUCUCCUUCUCCAUCAUGCAUCCUCCUAGACCCUGCCUGGGAGGACAGCACUGGGGAUGUUAAAAGAAAUAAGGACUUGAACAGAAUUUAGAAAAAAGAGAGAGACUUGGAGGAACACAUUAUUUGGCUGGGAAGCAGACAUGCUGGCAAUGAAGAUUUCAAGGAAUUCAGGAUUUUUUUAAUGUUCAAAUCUAGCAGGAAAUAAAACCAAGUGCGAAUAUUUAUAGGGAAGAAAUAAAAUUUCAGAGACUGAAUACCAAUUAAGGAAAUAAAUGAAAUCCUUAACUUUAUAGAUAUCUAAAAAGAAACCUUUGGUAAGGCUGCUUAAUAUCCCUGUGAAGACCUGUCUGAUCACACCUAGGACCUGCUGAAUGCUACACAACCACCACUAAUAAAAGUAACAAGCAUUACCAUCUUCUCCUGAGCAAAUGGAGGUAAGAGUCCCUUCGCCUUCAUUGUUGUAGACGCCAACUUUCACUUCAAAAGGAGAGAGAGGUUUAAUGCUUUAAUUCUUUUAAACAUAUUUUCUUGCUUCCGCUGAAGCCACCACUGCUUUUGUCCAGGUUGCUGAGCCAAGAUGACAAAACAUAACGAUGUAGCCAAAAUCUUCCCCAUUGUGUAGAUCUGAAACUGGCUAUAGUGACAAGGCAGUCAGUCAAUGAGCAUUUGCAAGUAUACACUGUUUUAACUGAAUCUUCAUUCCCUGACUAUAUUUUAGCAGUAUUGAUUUAGUUGACUGUGCCUUAGAGAAGAUAAUAAUGUUUGCUCCAUCAGUCAAUGUAAUAUUGAAAUAAAAAUCAAAAUAAUAAAUCUAUUGAGGCAAUCAAUUUAGAAACAAAAAAGCUGAUCAGCUCCAUUAAAGUUAUUCUCUUUCAGGCAUGAAGUUUUCAAAAUUAAAAGCAUUUUACUCAGUACAGGUUGUAGCCGACUUUUUUUCUUUUUUUUCCCCAAGGGGU